rnacentral:rRNA from 1 species
AGCGAACGCUGGCGGCAGGCUUAACACAUGCAAGUCGAGCGGGCACUUUCGGGUGUCAGCGGCGGACGGGUGAGUAACGCGUGGGAACGUGCCCUCUGGUUCGGAAUAACUCAGGGAAACUUGAGCUAAUACCGGAUACGCCCUUUUGGGGAAAGGCUUGCUGCCGGAGGAUCGGCUCGCGUCUGAUUAGCUAGUUGGUGAGGUAACGGCUCACCAAGGCGACGAUCAGUAGCUGGUCUGAGAGGAUGAUCAGCCACACUGGGACUGAGACACGGCCCAGACUCCUACGGGAGGCAGCAGUGGGGAAUAUUGGACAAUGGGCGCAAGCCUGAUCCAGCCAUGCCGCGUGAGUGAUGAAGGCCUUAGGGUUGUAAAGCUCUUUUAUCCGGGACGAUAAUGACGGUACCGGAGGAAUAAGCCCCGGCUAACUUCGUG